rnacentral:rRNA from 1 species
GACGAAGAGGGCAAGUGUUAUUCUUCGUGAUUGGGCGUAAAGGGUGCGUAGACGGUUCUUUAAACCCGAUUUGCAAAAUUCCAUAUUUCAGCUAUGGUAGGGAUCGGCCGAUUGGAGGGCUUGAGUUUAGGGAAGUAGGUGGUACUUUUAAGGUGAGGGGUAAAAUCCGACGAGUUUAAAGGGACGCGCAGAGGUGAAAACAACCAACUAUUUAAACUGACGUUGAGGCACGAAGGUGUGGGGAGCAAACCGG